rnacentral:rRNA from 1 species
GAUGAACGCUGGCGGCAUGCCUAACACAUGCAAGUCGAACGGGAAGAGGUGUUUCUAGUGGCGAAGGGGUUAGUAACGCGUAAGAACCUGCCCUGGGGAGGGGAACAACAACUGGAAACGGUUGCUAAUACCCCGUAGGCCGAGGAGCAGAAGAAGUAAUCAGCCCCAGGAGGGGCUCGAGACUGAUGAGCUUGUUGGUGAGGUAAGAGUUUACCAAGGCGCUGAUGAGUAGCUGACCUGUGAGGGGGACCAGCGACACUGGAACUGAGACACGGUCCAGACUCCGACGGGAAGACGCAGCAGGCAAUCUUCGGAGAUAGGCGUAAGCAUGACGCAGCAAUGCCGGGUGGGUGAUGAAGGCCUUCGGGCGUUAAAGUUGUGGUACUAGGGGAGAACAACUUCGUUACUAGCAGAAGACAUAUUGACGGUACCUAAGCAGAAAGCAUCGGCUAACUCCGUG